GAGUUUGAUCGUGGCUCAGAUUGAACGCUGGCGGCAGGCCUAACACAUGCAAGUCGAGCGGAUGACGGGAGCUUGCUCCUUGAUUCAGCGGCGGACGGGUGAGUAAUGCCUAGGAAUCUGCCUGGUAGUGGGGGACAACGUUUCGAAAGGAACGCUAAUACCGCAUACGUCCUACGGGAGAAAGCAGGGGACCUUCGGGCCUUGCGCUAUCAGAUGAGCCUAGGUCGGAUUAGCUAGUUGGUGGGGUAAUGGCUCACCAAGGCGACGAUCCGUAACUGGUCUGAGAGGAUGAUCAGUCACACUGGAACUGAGACACGGUCCAGACUCCUACGGGAGGCAGCAGUGGGGAAUAUUGGACAAUGGGCGAAAGCCUGAUCCAGCCAUGCCGCGUGUGUGAAGAAGGUCUUCGGAUUGUAAAGCACUUUAAGUUGGAGGAAGGGCAGUAAGUUAAUACCUUGCUGUUUUGACGUUACCGACAGAAUAAGCACCGGCUAACUCUGUGCCAGCAGCCG
rnacentral:rRNA from 1 species